GGCUCCUGUUCCGGGAAGGGCCGCGAGGCUUAGGCAGUGACCUGCGGCUGUAGAGAGGCCCCACGAACCCGGGCAGUCCGCCCGUGGGCCUCAGCCUGGUCCUCUGCUCCACCUACAGGCUUCAUCAGUUUUUCCUCCCCGCUCCCUCCUGAAUCCAUGCCCUGGUCUCAAGCUGCAGCCACCUCUUCACCCUGCAGUCAUGGCAGCGGCUUCCGGGAGACCCCGCCGCCGUGUGGAGCCAUCCAGACUCCCCACCCCACGGGACACAGUGUUGCACCCUUCCUUACCUGACCCCCAGGAGGACAGGACAGUACAGCCAGAGACCUGAGGCGAUGCUCACAGCCUCCCUGGAAACCCACACACAUCGAAGAACGGAGCACUGCGCACCAGGAGCCCGCAGCCCUCACAGACCUGCCCACCUGCUGGAUCCUCAAGAGGCCCAUGGUGACAGAACUGAUCAAACUAAGAGCUAGGCAAAGCCCUCAAAGAUGACGGCACCAGGCAGGGACAGACAUUGUCCAUGUGAACUGCCAAACAUACACACACACAACUCACUGCAGACUUUAUAAGGAGGUUUGCCCCAUCUCAGGAGAUGCCUGUGCCUGAGAAGGGUGUGGGAGGGAGAAACUGAGCUGUGGGACCAAAAAGAAAUGCCUGAUAGCUGGGAUUCCGGCAGAGCAGUGGGUUGGUGGCAUUACCCGAAAAGGAGUGUGAUCAACUAUAUGCAACAGAGACCAGCUCUCCCCCAGAUGGAGAUAAAGGAAAAUGUUAUAGCCAA
rnacentral:lncRNA from 1 species